UGCCCUCCCUCCCAGCGCCAAGCUGGGGAGCAGAACAGCCCAGCGAGCGGCUCCGUGACCCGAAGGGAUCUGCCGUGUGCUUGCCCUGCGCCGGAGCCAAGGGCGAGGAAGCAGCCGCAGCCCACGGGGCUGCUCUUGGGAUGGAGCCGAGCAUCCGCUGGGAAGGAGCCCCUGAGCACGGCACGGAUGGAUGAGGAUGGCAGUUGCCACUCUGCCACGUGUGCAAGGACGCUGCAGAAGUUUUGAAGAAAGGACUUCUGGGGCAGCCUUGAGGCGGCUAUGGAUACAACCACUGCCAGGUCUGCUGCGGCCAGACAGCUGGCCAUGAGGUCAGACUAGUGCUGGGACAAGCCACCGGGACGAGAGGAGCAGAAAGAUGGGAAACAUCUGUGACCCUCCUCCUAUUUUCUAGCCUCAGAUGGUGAACUAGAUUCAGGCAUGUGGGGCUGUGCAAUAUUCCACUCUUUGAGGGAUUAGGACGAGGCAGGGAAUGUGGAGGGAAGCCAUCAGCCCUGGGAGAUAAGGAUGCUGAAGCUAUCAGGUUGCCAGCAGGCCCCAAGUGCACAGUGGUUUCCAGGUUUCAGGAUAAUCUUUGCUCUGGUUUGGUUUGCUUUUCCAGCCACUUUCUUUGCAGAUGAGUUCUUUUGGAUUUGUGCUGCCAGUCCCCACAAAUUUCUCCCUCCCUCCCUCCCUUCUCUGGAAUGAAGCAGGACAGGACCCAGGGCUCCUUUAUUUUCCUGCCCACUCCUCUCUUUAACACCUCCUCACUAAAUCCACUGGAUUUGGCACUUACCUUGUCUCCAGCAGACUGCAAGGGGCAAAACUUUGCUUUCAGCAUACCUGGGAGUCAUUCAGUGACACCACAGGGAUGCAGCUGCUGGGGUUCUCUGCAGUGGAGACUCAUUGUCUCUUAGAUAUGCCAGGUCAUCAGAACACUUUCUGACGAUGCCAUUUUUGGUAGAUGGCCCAAAGAAAAAUUGGCUGCUCUCUAGAGUGACAGCUAGAUUGCAGCCUGACAUGAAUGAAAAGCAUAGCAAGAUGGAACAGAUUUUUGCUCCAAGCCUUCUCUGCUGAUGUGUUAACUUUGGCAGCAUCAUUUGGAGAAAAAAGUGAAUUAAUCUUAUUGGAGUUGUGUACAAAAGAGACUGUGGGAAGGAACGGGGGGGGGGGGGGGAAGGGAUGUGUGAAUCUAUGUUGAUUAUUUUGAAGCCAUAAACAAGUGGCAUCAGAAAAGAUUUUGACAACCAUAUGGACUUUCAGAAGUGUGAAAUCUUCUGAAAAUGAUGUGCAAUCAUGUAAGGGUUGGCAUAAAAGAAAAGAAGACAAGAUAUGGAUUGAUGAGAUGUACAGACAGAGACUGCAAUCUGUGAUACAGGAGUUAAGAUUCUGGGUACAUGAAAAAAAUGGUACCUAGAAAAAGACUUUUUAUAUAAAUUAAAUCAAAUUAAAUUAAGUUACAUAAGAGAAUGCUCUCAAAGAUAAUAGAAAUAACAGUCAAUUCUAUUUCUUAUUGCCGGUUUUCAGAACUAGACUCUGGGGAACAGCAGUCUCAGGAUUGAGCAACAGCUUUCCACUGAAAUAAUAAUUGUUUUUCUGGGAAGCUUCACUGGAGAUGCCACAUGCAAUCUGGAUUUUACACAGUGCAAAAACCACAAGAGUGCAGGUCCUGCUGAGGGGCAUCAGCUGCUGUGUUGGCUGAUGUCUGGAACUGCCAUGGCAGUGCAAGGUAUCUCCCCUGAUGUUCUCCAAGGGGACAAUUUUAUCCCAGAGCUUGGAAGUGCUGUCUGAGAGGCAAGUAGGAUGACAAGAAAGAAGCUUAGCAAAUUUUGUACCUUUGGUGUAGCAUGUUUCCACACAAGCUGUAUGUGCACGUGGCAGGGACAUCCCCAUGGGCCACGUGAGGGUGCGAGAUGUGACACACACCAGAGGAGGUAAGUGCUGCUCUGCUGCCCUGGGGAAGCAACUCAUCAGAUCUGGGCAAGGGCCACCAUGCUGUCUGAGAUCUCACCACCUGCUAGGAGACCAGAAACUUGAGAGGUCUGGGCUCUCUCUGGGGACUAAGUUUAAAUGCCAGCACUCUGAGCCUUUUUACAACCUGACUGUUUGAUUCCUUUCCUCUUUAAGGUAUCACAUGCACAAUAAUAUGGGACAUAAAUUGCAGCAAAAUACUUUUCAGGUUUGAUUUAUAAAUGGUUCUGAUUUGCUUCUGAUUUCAGCUUCCCCUGUGGCAGCGUUCCAGGUCCAGAUUAAGGUUUGUAUUUCUUGUCUUGUCGCAUCACGAGAGAAUGGGAAAAGCAGAUGGAAGGUGAAAAACUGGGAAUGGAAAACAAACCAGCUAUGCCAUCUUAAAGAAGCAGAAGAAAGUAGGCUGAACUCUAACAUAAGAAAAUAUUUUUCAUGGGAAAACACAGAUCAGGGCAAGAGUUGACUUUUAUGUAUAAAUAGGGGUGUAUGAUAGGAUGAAAUAGAUAUUAAAUUAAUCUGUUUGCGUAAUUUGAACAUUGAAAAAGUCCAGCAUCUGUGCACUGUAUAUCAUGUACACUAUCCCAUAGUCUGAUACUUUGAGUCCUCUUCCCAUUCUGCAAUAUUUCCAUUAGACCUCAAUCUUUAAGAAGUCAGUACACACACAAAAAUGUUCAGACACAUCUUAGAUUUUUUGAUAUAUGUCUUCUAAGCAUACCCUUCCUUUCCUUCCCUUUGCCUUUCACCGUACAAGCCUUUGUUGUUUGGUGACAUUAGCACAGUCACCAGUAAAUUUAGUGCCUCAUAAUCUCUUUCCACCACUGAAGAUGGUACUUGGAGUUAGUCCUAAGAGGUUCCAGCAAGGAAGUGCCACUUAAGAGAAUGUGAUGAACUGUGUAGAGGAACUUUAUUUUGCUAUUUGAAAAGAAAACUGAGGAUACUUUAAGAUUCCAUGAUCUGCAUUUUCAGACUAGACUCUGGAGUGACAAGCCAAAAGAAAAGCAUAUCAAGACCCCUCCCCCCACUUAUUCUUUAUUUAAUGAGGUAUGGGGUUUAACUGAGGAAUUUAAAUGAUUGACUGAGAAGUAUUUGAAAUUCUUGAGGGUCAUAAGGAUCAAGGCAAAUGGAUCAAUCAAAAAUAAUUACUUUUGACACUGUGACAACAGCUAGCGCUUUCUUUUUUCCCUCAAAUAAUCUAUGAAUAUUUUUUCUCUUCUUGAAAUGCUGAAGUAAAGAGUCUUAUUUUCCAAGGAACUGCAACAUUAAAUGUCCUCAUAUUUGACAAAAGCACUUAAAGAAGCUAUAGCUGUUUUAUUUCUAAAAGGAAGGAAACAUUGAAAAAGAAAAAUUUCUUAAUUCAGGAUCCAUUCAUUCAUUCAUUAACUGGUCCUUUGACACUUUUUCCUAAUUAAUAGUGUUGUUAUGAGACCAAGCAGCAACAAGUAGACAUUAAGCAUGGAGGGGGAAAAGCACUGAGAAAUAAAUGUUUUACAUUUAAUUACAACUGUCAUACAGAGAUCAUAAGUGCUCUGCCACAUCUCAAGCAGAAUCAGUGCAUUGUUGUGCCUUUGAAGAAGCAACUUUCACCAGACCAAUUCACUUUUUAACACUUUUUCUUCUCUAUUGUCAUAGUGUAGUGUGUGUGUGAAACAAGAUAGUUUAACAGUUUAAUUUUGUUUUAUUCCAGAAAACAGACAUACUGUUUCCAAACAUACAACCUCAGGGGCUGGGAAUAUGACAGUGCUGGGGGCCCCAGCGUGAAAAGCAACUCUGGACAAAAGUGCACAGAGAACAACUCUAAAUGAAAGAUCAGCAGCCAUCCUGUAGUGAAUGGCACAUGCCUCCUGUGUGGCUUCACACAAGACCCCCAGCCAUGCAGUGUUCCAGUCCCAAGGAAAAAAUUGAGAAUAACCUUGUGUCACCAAGCAUAGCUCUAAUAUAGUCCCACUUACUAUGGAGAAACAUAAACAAAACAAUCUUAUUUUAUUAGAUGCCUAUUCCAGCCAACUUCUGUUUAAAGCAGUGCUUUUUUUCUGUAGGAAUUGGCUCUGUAUUACAGCCCUGAAAGCUCAGCUUGAAGUCAGCUCUCUUUUCCUGCCUGUUUUCAGCUGCAUCAGAAAGAGCUAAUGGCUGGAUACCAGGCAGACUGCACACUGAUACAAGAGAGUUCAGCUUCCCAAAAUUACUGCCUCUCUGGGGAAUAUUUUAACUCUCUUGAUCUCCAAGGACUACCAUGCCUCAGAGACGAAUGCAUCAGAAUUGAGGGGGAAAAGAGAAGAAUUAGCUUGGAAAGCAAACAAACUAUCCUGGAAACCAACACUUGUUCAUGUGAGUACAUGCUUGCCUACUCCCAUGGCCUGAGCUGGCUUUUGGCUCUACUCUCUGGAGCAGUCUGAACAAAGGUAAACCCUAAGCAGUGAAUCCCACUACACUCAGAGGACUGCAGGUGCCCUGAUCACCACUUUAACUAAAGAAAUUCUGUGUAGCUCCUUUGAGAAUUUGCCUUGCGUUAGCUAAGUCAGGAUCAGCAAGUUAACUUUUCACGAUUCCAUUUCUGGGACAUUCUACUCCCCUGACUUUUGGUCUGCUAUUUUCUUGUUCUUGACAUCUGUAUGAACAUUUGCAACAAUACAGAAUAAAAAAUUCAAUUUUAAAGUCGUUUCCCUGAGCUGUAAGGGUGAUCCUGUCAGCCUGCCUUGAUCUAAUGCAUAUAAGGCCUGGGUGACCAUCACAAAUAUGACAACAUUUCACAAGCCAUGUGAAAAGCCUGCAGAGCUGAGGGUCUGUGAAGAGCCUGCAGACAGCCAGUCCUGUUCUGUCCUUCCCAAAAAAAUUUCAUUCUACUAUCUUGGAUCCCUACUCAAGUUCUGGGCCAUGCCACUGUUGGAAGGAUCAAGAACCAGAGCUGUUAGCACCCAGCAUUAACACUGGGUAGGAAUUCUCUUGGCUCUGCAGUAAGGUUUCCUGCCACCUCAUGUGCCCAGUUUUCUCUAUUGCUUUAGCAGAGGAUGGACAGACCCCGGCAGAGUGGAGCACCAUCACCUCCCAACACCAGUGACUCAGAGGGGGCAACUGUUCCCAUGGGCCUGAAACUCCACUUUUUAAUGGCAGGCACAUCUAAUAUCCCCUUCUAGCAAUGUGUGUGGAGACUCCUCCCUUGGCUGGAGACUCCCCCAAGGCUGAGCAGAAUAGAUUUGCCAGCAGUUGUUAGUAUGGGUGAGUAGCAUCAAUCUCUACUUAAUUGUUUUGCUAGCUUCAAUAUUGCUGUUUCAAUAUUACUUCAAUAAACAGUGCACUGCACUAGUAGUUAUAACUAUCUGUACUGUGUAGUAAAUCAUUCUGAUUAAUGUCUUUUAGUCUAAUCAUUAUAAUUAUCACCAUCAAUAAAAUAAAUAAUUUAUUUUAUUUAUAUAAA